rnacentral:rRNA from 1 species
GAGUCGCAUGUUCUAGACCCGAAGCGGAGUGAUCUACCCAUGGCCAGGGUGAAGCGACGGUAAGACGUCGUGGAGGCCCGAACCCACUUAGGUUGAAAACUGAGGGGAUGAGCUGUGGGUAGGGGUGAAAGGCCAAUCAAACUCCGUGAUAGCUGGUUCUCCCCGAAAUGCAUUUAGGUGCAGCGUCACGUGUUUCACGCCGGAGGUAGAGCUACUGGAUGGUCUAGGGGGCCUACAAGCUUACCGAAAUCAGCCAAACUCCGAAUGCCGGUGUGUGAGAGCGUGGCAGUGAGACUGCGGGGGAUAAGCUUCGUAGUCGAGAGGGAAACAGCCCAGAUCGCCGGCUAAGGCCCCUAAGCGUGUACUAAGUGGAAAAGGAUGUGAAGUCGCGAAGACAACCAGGAGGUUGGCUUAGAAGCAGCCACCCUUGAAAGAGUGCGUAAUAGCUCACUGGUCAAGUGAUUUUGCGCCGACAAUGUAGCGGGGCUCAAGUACACCGCCGAAGCCGCGGCA